UACGGGGGGGGCAAGCGUUGUUCGGAAUUACUGGGCGUAAAGGGCUCGUAGGCGGCCAACUAAGUCGGACGUGAAAUCCCUCAGCUUAACUGGGGAACUGCGUCCGAUACUGGAUGGCUUGGAUUUGGGAGAGGGGAUGCGGAAUUCCAGGUGUAGCGGUGAAAUGCGCAGAUAUCAGGAGGAACACCUAUGGCGAAGGCAGCUCGCUGGGACGGUACUGACGCUGAGGCGCGAAAGCGUGGGGAGCGAACAGG
rnacentral:rRNA from 1 species